GGCCCCAGAUGGGACAUGGGACAUCCGAGCCUCCUCCUGACUCCAUCUCAGGAUCCUGCAAGCAGGAGGAGCUGGUUUGGUUGCUGCCCUUCAAAUGAUGCAUCUCAUCACAUGGGGAAGAGUAGGAAAAAACCACCUAGAAAGAGCCACAGGACCAGCAUAAAAAGAGGUGUGGACGAG